rnacentral:rRNA from 1 species
UACGUAGGUGGCGAGCGUUGUCCGGAUUUAUUGGGUUUAAAGGGUGCGUAGGCGGCCUAUUAAGUCAGUGCUGAAAUAUCACAGCUUAACUGUGAGGGUGGCAUUGAUACUGGUAGGCUUGAGUGAAGUCGAGGUAGGCGGAAUUGACGGUGUAGCGGUGAAAUGCUUAGAUAUCGUCAAGAACACCGAUAGUGAAGACAGCUUACUAGGCUUAAACUGACGCUGAGGCACGAAAGUGUGGGGAUCAAACAGG